rnacentral:lncRNA from 1 species
ACUCAUUAUAAUGUUUUUUUUGUACAUUGCAUGAUAAAGGUAUGAGAAAUGAUAUUUAUACAACCAUUUUAUGACAACUUUAUCUUUCAUACUCAUAUUAUGUUUUUACUUUUUCUCUUUUUUAUUUGGUUUCCGCCAACACUAAAGUGGAUAAAUUCAUUGUGCUAAAAGCAAUCUCACAAGUGAGUUUGGUCUUAAUCGAAUACCAGGAUCCACUCUAUAGUAUCUCCACCAAGUGAAAUCAAGCUUUGAUAUUAUUGUUGGGACUUAUGAGAGUCUGCAUUUGGUAGAUCAAUAUAUUAGUUAAACUAAGAAAAACUAUACAAAUUUUAUUUUUUUUUAUAAAAUAAACUAUACAAAUGAGUUUGCAUGACAUAUCUUCUCACAAAACUUUAAAAGGGGAAUAAGUAUGGAUCUUCUCAUUUAUAUAGUUAUAUGUUAUAACUCUUCAAUUCAAUGUGAGACUUUUAACUCACACUAGCCACAUCAACAUAAUUUGAUAUACAAAAAUCAUUUUCUUAAAUACAUGUUUAUAAUUAAUGUUUAAUAUAUUUUUAAAGCACUUUAUAAAAAAAGUCUUAAUAUGCUCCAUGUUUUCAAAUGUAGAGGAAAUUAUUGCAAAAAGGUACACUAGCUUUAUUAUGGUGCGAAGAGAGGAAUAACACUUGAGUGACAUAGAAUUGGGUGACAUUGGUGAUAUUGACCAAUCAUAAUGUCACAAUAUUUGUGAAAGAGAUAGAAACACAAGCACUGUGACAUUGUGAUUGACCAAUGUCACAAAUGUCACCCAAUUCUAUGUCAUCCCAAAAAGAGAUAGUACAUCCCAUUGGUUUGAAUUAUUGUACCACACGGGUGGCCAAAUCACUAAUUAGAGAUUGCGCGGCGUACUACUUGUCUCAUGUUGGUUCCCUACUCCCUGGUGCCUGGUGGUACCAUGAUGUUGACAUAGGGUGUUUUUCGUGUGGGUUAAGAUUCUGUGUUUCUCUUACCAUUUGUAAGAGAAAUAGAUAUAAAGAACUUUAAAAAUAUAUAAAUUAAUUUGUAAGGAUAGAAUCCAUUUAGUGGUAAGUGUAUUUUUUACUUUUGUACAUAUUUAUCUUUCCCUGAAUGGAACACUUCAUUUAUUUUAAAAAAUGGGAAAACCCUAACCCGUUAGGUGUGUAUGUAAAAAUGUUUUAAUUGAAUUUAAUUUUAUAAAAUAUAUUUUUAAAAU